rnacentral:rRNA from 1 species
GAUGAACGCUGGCGGCGUGCCUAAUACAUGCAAGUCGAGCGAACAGACGAGGAGCUUGCUCCUCUGACGUUAGCGGCGGACGGGUGAGUAACACGUGGAUAACCUACCUAUAAGACUGGGAUAACUUCGGGAAACCGGAGCUAGUACCGGAUAAUAUAUUGAACCGCAUGGUUCAAUAGUGAAAGACGGUUUUGCUGUCACUUAUAGAUGGAUCCGCGCCGCAUUAGCUAGUUGGUAAGGUAACGGCUUACCAAGGCAACGAUGCGUAGCCGACCUGAGAGGGUGAUCGGCCACACUGGAACUGAGACACGGUCCAGACUCCUACGGGAGGCAGCAGUAGGGAAUCUUCCGCAAUGGGCGAAACCCUGACGGAGCAACGCCGCGUGAGUGAUGAAGGUCUUCGGAUCGUAAAACUCUGUUAUUAGGGAAGAACAAAUGUGUAAGUAACUAUGCACGUCUUGACGGUACCUAAUCAGAAAGCCACGGCUAACUACGUG